rnacentral:rRNA from 1 species
AUUGAACGCUGGCGGCAGGCUUAACACAUGCAAGUCGAGCGGAGAUGAGGUGCUUGCACCUUAUCUUAGCGGCGGACGGGUGAGUAAUGCUUAGGAAUCUGCCUAUUAGUGGGGGACAACAUUCCGAAAGGAAUGCUAAUACCGCAUACGCCCUACGGGGGAAAGCAGGGGAUCUUCGGACCUUGCGCUAAUAGAUGAGCCUAAGUCGGAUUAGCUGGUUGGGGGGGAAAAGGCCUACCAAGGCGACGAUCUGUAGCGGGUCGGAGAGGAUGAUCCGCCCCACUGGGACUGAGACACGGCCCGGAGUCCGACGGGAGGCAGCAGUGGGGAAUAUUUGACAAUGGGCGGAAGCCUGAUCCAGCCAUGCCACGCGUGUGAAGAAGGCCUUUUGGUUGUAAAGCACUUUAAGCGAGGAGGAGGCUACCUGGAUUAAUACUCUAGGAUAGUGGACGUUACUCGCAGAAUAAGCACCGGCUAACUCUGUGCCAGCAGCCGCCGUAAAAC